rnacentral:rRNA from 1 species
UUGGAAACGAUGAUAAUACUGGUACUCCUUCUACCAAAAGGUAAGUUGGGAAAGUUUUUCGCUAAGAGUCGGUCUAUAUCCCAUCAGCUUGUUGGUAGUGUAAGAGACUACCAAGGCGAUGACGGGUAGCGGGUUUGAGAGGAUGAUCCGCCACACUGGUACUGAGACACGGACCAGACUCCUACGGGAGGCAGCAGUGAGGAAUAUUGCACAAUGGGGGAAACCCUGAUGCAGCAACGCCGCGUGGAGGAUGACGCAUUUCGGUGUGUAAACUCCUUUUAUAUGUCAAGAAAAUGACGGUAGCAUAUGAAUAAGCACCGGCUAACUCCGUGCCAGCAGCCGCGGUAAUACGGAGGGUGCAAGCGUUAUUCGGAAUCACUGGGCGUAAAGGACGCGUAGGCGGGUUGGAAAGUCAGAUGUGAAAUCCUACAGCUUAACUGUAG